GGGCCCGCACAAGCGGUGGAGCAUGUGGUUUAAUUCGAUGAUACGCGAGGAACCUUACCAGGGCUUAAAUGUAAGUUGCAUAAGCUAGAGAUAGCUUUUUCUUCGGACUACUUACAAGGUGCUGCAUGGUUGUCGUCAGCUCGUGCCGUGAGGUGUCAGGUUAAGUCCUAUAACGAGCGCAACCCCUGUUGUUAGUUGCCAUCGAGUAAUGUCGGGAACUCUAACAAGACUGCCGGUGCAAACCGUGAGGAAGGUGGGGAUGACGUCAAAUCAUCACGGCCCUUACGUCCUGGGCUACACACGUGCUACAAUGGCCGGUACAGAGAGCAGCCACUACGCGAGUAGGAGCGAAUCUUCAAAGCCGAUCACAGUUCGGAUCGGAGUCUGCAACUCGACUCCGUG
rnacentral:rRNA from 1 species